AUGUCCAGCCUCCCUCACCCAGAGCAUCCCUGCUGGCUCUCGCAGGUGAAUCACACCUGCCUGCAAGAGCCAGGGGCCAGGAGCAAAGGGAGCCCAGGGGCUGCACAGAGAGGGGCCAGGGAUGGCUCAGCAGGGGCCAGCAGCACAUCCUGCAUCCUCCACUGCCUGGGCUCAGCAGCACAUCCUGCAUCCUCCACUGCCUGGGCUCAGCAGCACAUCCUGCAUCCUCCACUGCCUGGGCUCAGCAGCACAUCCUGCAUCCUCCACUGCCUGGGCUCAGCAGCACAUCCUGCAUCCUCCACUGCCUGGGCUCAGCAGCACAUCCUGCAUCCUCCACUGCCUGGGCUCAGCAGCACAUCCUGCAUCCUCCACUGCCUGGGCUCAGCAGCACAUCCUGCAUCCUCCACUGCCUGGGCUCAGCAGCACAUCCUGCAUCCUCCACUGCCUGGGCUCAGCAGCACAUCCUGCAUCCUCCACUGCCUGGGCUCAGCAGCACAUCCUGCAUCCUCCACUGCCUGGGCUCAGCAGCACAUCCUGCAUCCUCCACUGCCUGGGCUCAGCAGCACAUCCUGCAUCCUCCACUGCCUGGGCUCAGCAGCACAUCCUGCAUCCUCCACUGCCUGGGCUCAGCAGCACAUCCUGCAUCCUCCACUGCCUGGGCUCAGCAGCACAUCCUGCAUCCUCCACUGCCUGGGCUCAGCAGCACAUCCUGCAUCCUCCACUGCCUGGGCUCAGCAGCACAUCCUGCAUCCUCCACUGCCUGGGCUCAGCAGCACAUCCUGCAUCCUCCACUGCCUGGGCUCAGCAGCACAUCCUGCAUCCUCCACUGCCUGGGCUCAGCAGCACAUCCUGCAUCCUCCACUGCCUGGGCUCAGCAGCACAUCCUGCAUCCUCCACUGCCUGGGCUCAGCAGCACAUCCUGCAUCCUCCACUGCCUGGGCUCAGCAGCACAUCCUGCAUCCUCCACUGCCUGGGCUCAGCAGCACAUCCUGCAUCCUCCACUGCCUGGGCUCAGCAGCACAUCCUGCAUCCUCCACUGCCUGGGCUCAGCAGCACAUCCUGCAUCCUCCACUGCCUGGGCUCAGCAGCACAUCCUGCAUCCUCCACUGCCUGGGCUCAGCAGCACAUCCUGCAUCCUCCACUGCCUGGGCUCAGCAGCACAUCCUGCAUCCUCCACUGCCUGGGCUCAGCAGCACAUCCUGCAUCCUCCACUGCCUGGGCUCAGCAGCACAUCCUGCAUCCUCCACUGCCUGGGCUCAGCAGCACAUCCUGCAUCCUCCACUGCCUGGGCUCAGCAGCACAUCCUGCAUCCUCCACUGCCUGGGCUCAGCAGCACAUCCUGCAUCCUCCACUGCCUGGGCUCAGCAGCACAUCCUGCAUCCUCCACUGCCUGGGCUCAGCAGCACAUCCUGCAUCCUCCACUGCCUGGGCUCAGCAGCACAUCCUGCAUCCUCCACUGCCUGGGCUCAGCAGCACAUCCUGCAUCCUCCACUGCCUGGGCUCAGCAGCACAUCCUGCAUCCUCCACUGCCUGGGCUCAGCAGCACAUCCUGCAUCCUCCACUGCCUGGGCUCAGCAGCACAUCCUGCAUCCUCCACUGCCUGGGCUCAGCAGCACAUCCUGCAUCCUCCACUGCCUGGGCUCAGCAGCACAUCCUGCAUCCUCCACUGCCUGGGCUCAGCAGCACAUCCUGCAUCCUCCACUGCCUGGGCUCAGCAGCACAUCCUGCAUCCUCCACUGCCUGGGCUCAGCAGCACAUCCUGCAUCCUCCACUGCCUGGGCUCAGCAGCACAUCCUGCAUCCUCCACUGCCUGGGCUCAGCAGCACAUCCUGCAUCCUCCACUGCCUGGGCUCAGCAGCAGCCCCGGGAGCCAGAGCUCUCCAAGAGCUCAGCUGGGAAGUGAAUGUUUAG
ensembl:lncRNA